rnacentral:rRNA from 1 species
UACAGAGGGGGCAAGCGUUGUUCGGAAUUACUGGGCGUAAAGGGCGCGUAGGCGGCCUGCUAAGUCGAACGUGAAAUCCCCGAGCUCAACUCGGGAACUGCGUCCGAUACUGGCGGGCUUGAAUCCGGGAGAGGGAUGCGGAAUUCCAGGUGUAGCGGUGAAAUGCGUAGAUAUCUGGAGGAACACCGGUGGCGAAGGCGGCAUCCUGGACCGGUACUGACGCUGAAGCGCGAAAGCUAGGGGAGCAAACAGG